AGCUGCCAAGGUGCACUGCAGUGUUUUACAAGGAAGUAUGGAGAAAUGGAACCAUGUGAUUUGCAAGCUCCCUGAGGCUAAAACCUCAGCUGCUGCAGAAGAAGAGUCUUUUCCCAUCGACUCAAGGCAAGUUGAAACUGGAACCCUGAUAACAACAGCCUCUCCAAGUCUGCACUUCAUACUUGUUCUGUGUGGAGAGGAAUAGCCAUAACUGGAUAAUAUCUUGAGCUCCUGUGAUAAGAGCACAGAGACAUCAAGUGGCUAUUUGAACCAUGCACCAGCAAGAGGGCAGUCCUGACUGGUUUAAACCUUCUUGGUUUCUUUGCAAAACAGAUUUAUCUGCUAUAUAAAAGAAAAUAUUGGCACUUUGCUAGAUCUUCCGAGACAAAGGGCAUCACUUCCUCAUUCUGCAGUUAAGAAGGUAUGGGAUUUAGUGCAUCACUUUUUCAUAGCACUUGUGCCAAUAAUCCCAUUAUACACCACAGCUGCAGAAAAGCAGUUCUGCAGCGAUAGUUAUGAUUCAGCCACAAGCCACAGGUGCAAUAAAACUGCCAGCAGUCUGACUGUAGAAGAGCUGUUUCUAUGAACAUCUUUGAGAGUACAUUAAAAUCUGCUUUUCUCCUGAUGUGGAAAAUUUGAGAGGAUGUGCAGAUGGGACCUUUUCACAGCUGCAUGUAGGCACAGCACUCUGCGUUAGCAGUCUAGUGCCUGUGCAGUGUGCAGAACAGCUCCUGUGUCCUAGGGCAGGGCACAGCUGCAGUUGUGGUAUCUCCUGUGGGCUGUGACUGUGCCUGGCUGACAUGCCCUGUGGCAGGGACCCAAGGAGUCCAGCAUACUGGCUGAGGAAGGACAUUGGUGCUUAGAAGGCUGUGCAGAUGCAUCUCCUCAUACAUGGAAGUCUGUGAACCUCUGUUAAGCCUUUUCCACUUGGCUGAGUGGAGAAUGCAAACAUCUCACGCUCCAAAAUGCUAGUUUGGUGACAAAACCAAUGAAAGCAGGAAGACCUUGCUUUGCUCUUUUACUUCCUCAGUAUUCAUCCAGUUGCAAGUGUAUUUUCACUAUUCACUUGUUCUGCUGCAGUAUCACCUUGAUGAUCUCUGAAGCUGACUGAACUGGAUUGCUUGUGCCUUGUGCAUGGGAAGCCUUACAAAUUGUCACCUGGCUUUGAAACUGAAGGAGUAACAAAUUUAUGAAAACUA